rnacentral:rRNA from 1 species
AACGAACGCUGGCGGCGUGCCUAACACAUGCAAGUCGUGCGAGAAAGUUCCUUCGGGAGCGAGUAAAGCGGCGCACGGGUGAGUAACACGUAGGUAACCUGCCCCCCAGUCUGGAACAACUAGAGGAAACUCUAGCUAAUGCCGGAUGAGACCACGAUCCCUUCGGGGGUUGCGGCCAAAGAUGGCCUCUACUUGUAAGCUAUCGCUGAGGGAUGGGCCUGCGGGCCAUUAGCUUGUGGUGAGGUAACGGCUCACCAAGGCUGUGAUGGCUAGCUGGUCUGAGAGGAUGACCAGCCACACUGGGACUGAGACACGGCCCAGACUCCUACGGGAGGCAGCAGUGGGGAAUAUUGCGCAAUGGGCGAAAGCCUGACGCAGCGACGCCGCGUGGGUGAUGAAGGCC